rnacentral:rRNA from 1 species
UACGUAGGGACCAAGCGUUGUUCGGAUUUACUGGGCGUAAAGGGCGCGUAGGCGGCGCGGUAAGUCACUUGUGAAAUCUCUGAGCUUAACUCAGAACGGCCAAGUGAUACUGCAGUGCUAGAGUGUGGAAGGGGCAAUCGGAAUUCUUGGUGUAGCGGUGAAAUGCGUAGAUAUCAAGAGGAACACCUGAGGUGAAGACGGGUUGCUGGGCUGACACUGACGCUGAGGCGCGAAAGCGUGGGGGAGCGAACAGG